GACGGUUCUGGGGACUCAGGUCAUUUUUUCAAACGCAGCUUCACAACACAGUUCGAGAUAUUUGUUGGAUUAUGAAGACCCAAACUGUUUCGAUCGCUCUUGCUGCUCUUAUUCUUAAUUUACUAUUGAUUUCUGAGACUGAUUGCUUCUCUGGACCAAUACCAAAAAAGAGAGAGGUUGAAGCAAAGUUUGACAGAAGGAUAAGAAGGGCAGAAGCCCAGAAGGAAGCGAGAAGCUUCGGACGCGAGGGAAUGGACGAGAGGUUCUCUGACAAAUGGAUAGCACAGCAAAAGUAGCCAUGUUUAUUGGAGGGGAGAUCAUAAUGAUGUCGCCGAAACUAGAUUAUAGAAAAGAGCUCUGUAAAUCAAAAGAUUUAAGGAAAAAAAGGAACAGAAGGGAUAAAUAAAAGGAGUAAAAAAA